rnacentral:rRNA from 1 species
CAGCAGCCACGGGAAUACGUAGGGUGCGAGCGUUAAUCGGAAUUACUGGGCGUAAAGCGUGCGCAGGCGGUUUUGUAAGACAGGCGUGAAAUCCCCGGGCUCAACCUGGGAAUGGCGCUUGUGACUGCAAAGCUAGAGUGCGGCAGAGGGGGAUGGAAUUCCGCGUGUAGCAGUGAAAUGCGUAGAUAUGCGGAGGAACACCGAUGGCGAAGGCAAUCCCCUGGGCCUGCACUGACGCUCAUGCACGAAAGCGUGGGGAGCGAACAGGAUUAGAUACCCCGGUAGUCCCUGUCUCUUAUAC